AACGUAGGACGCAAGCGUUAUCCGGAGUUACUGGGCGUAAAGCGCGGGCAGGCGGUCUUGCCAGUCUGAUGUGAAAUCUCCUCGCUCAACGGGGAGCAGCCAUUGGAAACUACAAGACUGGAGUCUGGCAGAGGUAGGCGGAAUUCCGGAUGGAGUGGUGAAAUGCGUAGAGAUCCGGAGGAACACCAGAGGCGAAGGCGGCCUACUGGGCCAGUACUGACGCUGAGCCGCGAAAGCCAGGGGAGCGAACGGG
rnacentral:rRNA from 1 species